UAAAAUUCCCAAAAUCCCUAACACAUUUCUCCCUCAAAUCCCUAAAUCCCCAAAAUCCCUAAAUCCCCAAAGACGAGUUCGACGACGAUCUCUCUCCAUCUCUCGACGAGUGACGACAGUGACGGCUAGCGGUGUUCGAGUUCACCGAUGAUCACAGCGACGACGGCGAGUAUUCACCGACAAUAUCUCUCUCGACGAGCGAUGACAGCUAGCGGUGGUGCGGCGACGGCGUGUUACGAUCUCUCUCUCCGAGCUCAGUCAGUACGUAUGUUUGUUUAAUUGAGUACACACACACACACUGAUUGGGGAGCAAAGUUAGAGCUCUGUCAAUGGCGGUUUCAUCGUCUCCUCAACCUUCGUUUCUCUCUUCUCUCCACCUCAAUAACACAACCACUGCCAACCUAAGUUGUUCGUCUUCCCCCAAUCUUUCCUUUAUUGUUGACGUUCAAACCAAAACCAUCAAUCCAUGACGACGACCACAAUCGAUUGUCGUCUACUCUUCCAAAGAGAGAGUUUCUCGAACGAUACGGUCUUAAUCCCGACGACUUCCUAUCAAAACCUUCUCCUAAGACAAGGAGAAAGGAACUACGAAAGACAGGGAGGGGAAAGCAGGUCCCACCGGAGGAACCUAAGCCGCCAAGGGAGACUCAUAAAUUGCUUCAGGUGCUUGGAGGAACAACUAAAAGGAAGAAAUUGCUCUCACCAAAGGGCAUGGACGUACGCCCAAUGAUGGAAGUUGUAAAAGGUGCAGCCUUUGACAUUUUGCAAGUGGCCGGUGGUUGUCCUGCAUCUUUAAGGCCUGGUCAUUUGGUUAGACUUGUAUAGCGGCACAGGAUCUGUUGGUAUUGAGGCUCUCAGCCGGGGAUGUUCUGAGGCUGUGCAUACUGUCAGGUGCAUUUUGUCGAGAUGGAUCCUUGGGUUGUUCGUACUGUGUACAGUAUGGAUUUACCAGCAGAUUUGUAAGUUCGUACUGUGUACAGUAUGGAUGUACAGUAUGGUCUGUGUUUGGAGAGUAAGAGUUCGAACAAUGUGGUGUUAAUAGGGAGCAGAUGGUGUUGUCUCUUUGUGUUGGUUAUGUAGCUGCUCUCUUCAUUGGUACCUUCUUAGGCAUGCUCUCUGAUCUAAUUCUUUUGGAUUAUAUGGGCUCCCACUAUAGUGAUAUUUCCUAAGUAGCAGUUUGCUUCUUGUGGAAUGCAGGCGUGUGAAGAUUG